rnacentral:misc_RNA from 1 species
AACUUUUGGCAAUGGAUCUCUUGGCUCUCGCAUCGAUGAAGAUCGCAGCGAAACGCGAUAGGUAAUGUGAAUUGCAGAAUUCAGUGAAUCAUCGAAUCUUUGAACGCACAUUGCGCCCUUUGGUAUUCCGAUGGGCAUGUCUGUUUGAGCGUCAGUAACACCCCUCUUUGCGACUUUUUGUCACGAAGGUUUUGGGUGCGGCCACCGCGGCCCGCCCUAAUGCUGUACGCUUUGCGGGCUCCACACAGAUGUCAACGUAGUAAACACAAACGCUCGCUGAGAAUCUCUGUGGCGGCUUACGCCUCGAACCUCUUUAUGAAGUUUGACCUCAGAUCAGACAAGGAUACCCGCUGAACUUAAGCAUAUCAAUAAGCGGAGGCU